ensembl:lncRNA
AAAGUCACUCCAAAACCCUGAAGGAUUCUUGCUUUGUGCAAUGCUUAAAAUUUAAGCAUGACCUCUGUUUCCCAAUAGUACACACUGAACUAGCUGUCCUCCAAGGACAUGCAGGAAUGAGUCUUCUGCCCUCGGGAGAGGAGAGAGGUGGGUAAUCUCCAAGUCCUCUGUAACUCUGUGGCAGGAUAAACAUUCUCUGCCCACCAACAGAUGUGGAAACACUCAACAUGCCAAGGGUAAAUAAAAAAUACAAUGAACACUGCUGCCAAGUGGGAUCCAAUGGAAAAGAAGGCUUGUAAAAACACUAUGGUGUGUCUUUAUCCACCUAAUUCACCAGGUCUGGCAUCAUAUGACUUCUGACUCUUCUGCAAAGUCAAAAUAACCAUGAAAGUUUCCUGGGGUGUUUGUGACUUUGGCAAUGAGCUCCAAUUCAUGAGAACUUCAUCUGGCCAGCUAUUAUUGUUAUUACCUGAGAACCAGGACUGAAACAGAAUUCAUUACAGGAUCACUACAAGUAAAGAAGACCAAUCACUUACCACCUGGAAAGUUACUAACUUGUUCUUCUCUCAAAACUUCUACUGAUAUGUUCAAGACUUUUGUUUUCAAAUGUCUAAGUUACUGGACUACUAAAGGCCACAUUUGAUCCUGAUGAAGAAGAGAGUACCUCACCUGGAGACCGCUACUAUGGGGCAGAGUCAGUGCUUGGAUGAGACUUUGGAGGUUCUGAGUGUGCCUGGUGUUCAUGAAGAGUGGGACAGAUGUUGGGUAAUUAAAGAGGCAAUCUAUGGUAGACAUUUUUGCUUGUCUAUCAAAUCCUCAUUUCUUUCAAUUAAAUGAACUUCAAUUAUUUAUUUCCACUUUUCUUAUCUUACAUGUAUUUGUUGGCCCUGGGGUAGUUCUGGCCGAUGAGAUGUAGGAAGAAAUUCCUCAGGAGGACACUUCUUUCUUAACAAAACCCAAGUUCCUCUCACCAUUGAUCCUUACCUCUGUCUCUAUCUGAAAGCCAGACGUAAUGUCUGGAGAUGGAAUAGCCAUCAUUACACCACAAUGAUAGUGGCACAUGUGGAGGAGGCAGAAGUGGCAAACAGGCAAUGCAAGACCUUGAGGGCUUCACAGAGGAUUGGCUGCCUAACUUAAAAUGUCUCUGACUUAAAAUGUUAAACAAAUAAAACUUACCAAAACCAGUGUUAAGAGGGGUGGUUCUACUUGCAUCUGAACAUAUUUUUAAUACAUGUAAUCUUUUUUCAAUGUUUUAAAGAUUUACUUUUUAGUUUAUUAGUACAUGGAUGUUGUACAUAAUGUUUACAUUCUUCGUGGAAAGUUGUGCAUGUACCUAACACAUCCCAAUUCCUUUUCUCAUCCCCUCCCCCCUUCCCUCCAUCUCCCUUUCCCUUCCCCUCUGAGAAGUAUCUGUCCACCUACUUUCUAUUAUCUAUAAUUUAUUUUGCUCUUUAUUUUUACCCUGGGUUUUUCACAUUUGAGAAAUAAUGUGAUAUUUGAGCUUGUGUGUCUGAUUUAUUCCACUUAACAUUACGGUCUCAAGGUGCAUCCAUUGCCCUACAGAUGACUCAAGCUCAUCCUCAGGAACAGGGUAUCUGUAAAUCCCCAUGGUUGGCUGGCUCCAAGGCAGUAAUAUCAUGAUGGAAGGGCUUGGAGGAGGAAAGCUGCUCAACUCACGGGAUCCAGGAAAGAGAAAAAGAGGGAAAGGGCCAGAGAGGAAGGGGCCCAGAUCAGAUAUAGUCCCCAAGGUCAAAGCCCCAUGACCCGGUCCCUCCAACUUAGCCCCAACUCCUAAGUUUUUGUUACCUCCCAAUAAUGUAAUCAAGUUAUGAUCUUACCAAUGGAUUAAUUCACUGCUGCAGUUAGAGCUUUCAAGAUCCAAGCACUUUCUGAAAGCCCCACCUCUGAUCACAUGAGACAUGGGGGAUAUUUUAGAGCUAAAUCAUAACAGAGAGACAUGGUGGUUUUAUUGUUGAGAAAGAAUUUCUAAAGUUACAGAGCCAUCAUCCCAAUACUCAUUUUCUAAAACUCAACAGUUCUGUUAAAUAGUUGACUGUUGUGUGAUAGGAGUGGGGGACUCACAACAAAAGCUUAUAAAAAGCAGAAUGAAAAGCAGCAAUUGAGAUUAUUGGAUUCAAUACCAUAAAUGGUUUCAUAAUUCACUUUAACUUUGAAGCUAUUAAAAACAUGAUAACCUAU